UACGAAGGGGGCUAGCGUUGUUCGGAAUCACUGGGCGUAAAGGGCGCGUAGGCGGCUUUAUAAGUCGGGGGUGAAAGCCUGUGGCUCAACCACAGAAUUGCCUUCGAUACUGUAGAGCUUGAGACCGGAAGAGAUAAGUGGAACUGCGAGUGUAGAGGUGAAAUUCGUAGAUAUUCGCAAGAACACCAGUGGCGAAGGCGGCUUACUGGUCCGGUUCUGGCGCUGAGGCGCGAAAGCGUGGGGAGCAAACAGG
rnacentral:rRNA from 1 species